UUGAUUUUAUGUGUGGAAUUAUAAGUCAUCGAGUCAUUUUAAAUAAUGCUUUUCUGUCUCUCGUACGCUUUCUGUGUGGUGAUUGAAUAGAAAACACAGCGUGGUGAUGUAUUGCGUAAUGGCAAUAGACCAGCAGGAGUAAAGAUCGUUUGUCUGCAGUUGUAUAUUAAACACUAGUGAUAUAAGAGUUGAACACAUGAGGCAUCGUUUGGCAGUAUUAAGGACUCGCUGGUUGCCUGAGUAUCACUAAAACAAGAUAACGGAUGGUAGAGUGCCCACUGUUGCUAUACAUUUGACUCAACGCAUGGCUCCUGCCCCGGCUCAACGCAUGGCUCCAUAUGCCUAUAAAGAACCAUAUGCAGGAUAUAAAACCUAUUAUAGUCAGACUGCUCCUCAACCACAGUACUAUGACUACUGCACAGAGGCAUGAGAGGUGCAAGAGCGUCAAAUUGUAAAAAAAAACUACAAUUCUUUAGGGCCGACUCACUGGCUGCGUGGCGUAUCUGUUGCAUGUCAGUUGCGUGGCGGCUGCGUCGCGUUUUCUGUGUCCGUACAUACCAGAAGCAUGCCUGAUGCAGCGCUGACGCGCUGCUAUUGCUAUAGGUGACAUAUUUUGCCUGGAGACGCUUCCAAGACGAUUGCGUGUGGCGUGAAAUAUAGGCGUCGGCCCUAUUCCUAGCAUGCACGCGUUUUCGGAGACGUGCGUGUCAUGCAGGCGGUGUGAACUGUCAAACCUGCUAACAUGGGAGCCUAAAUAAAAACGGACACGCCACGCAGCUGAGACGCACACGCCACGCAGCAGGUGUGAAUCGGCCCUUACACUCCCACCAAAUUAUUAGUGCAAAAAAUAUACAUUUGACUUAACGCAUGGCUCCUGCCCAUGAAGAACCAUAUGCAGAAGUGCCAUAUGAUUGAUAUUGUGACGGGUCUCUGGCUUCCCCGCUACGGCCGGCCAGUGGGUGGAGCUGUACCUCUACAUAGUCUGCACCUGUGGCUCGUUAUCUCCCCUUAUUUUAGUUUGGUGUUGAUUGUGUUUGGAUGGUUAUUUUCCGCUUGGGUUUUGUUUGGUUAUUUUGUGUUUAGUUACAUCUUUAUUUUGUAAGUAUUGGUUUUCUAUUUUGUGCUCUUAAAUACAUUUGUUCACUUUAAAUUGUUAAAAAGCUUUAUCAAAGUUCAGUUUAAUUAUUACUUUCUUGAAAUAAAAGAUUAAUUGUUACUUCGGGUUUCAC